GCCUCCGAAAUCUGUUGAGUUUGAACUUCUUGAUGCACUAGGAAUGGUAUUGUUGUCAGAUGAUGGUGGAGAAUUGAAUGAGGGUGGAGGCGGACCCAAUCUUAUCACUGGUGAUGGGGGUGAUACUCUAGUAGAAUUUAAUGGUGAAGGUGCUUGUUGAGAAGGAGGCGAAUUUGGAGUUUGCCUGGCAGGUGAGGGUACAUUACUGGGAGUAGGGGCUAUUGAUUCUGGUGGAGGAGGUGAAUUCGAGGGUGCUGUUGAUGCUGGUGGAGGUGAAUUUGCAGGACGAGGUGAACUUUUGGGAGGGGUUGAUGCUGGUGGAGGCACUGAAUUUGCUGGUGGAGGUGAACUUUUGGGAGGUGUCACAGAUACAGGUGGUGGUGGGGGUGAAUUGGUCGGCGGUGGCGAAUUUUCAGGUGGCUUUGAUGAUGGUAGAGGUGGAUUUGGUGAUGUUGGUGGAGGCGAAUUAGCUGGUGGGGUUGUUGUUGGUGGUGGUGAAGAACUUGUAGGUGGAUUGGGGGUUGGUGGUGGUGAAGUUGGAUUAGAUGGUGGUGAGGGAGGAGGUGAACUUAUGGGUGGACUGGCUGCUUGUGAAGGCGGUGGUGGAGAAUUGGAGGUUGGAGG
rnacentral:misc_RNA from 1 species